rnacentral:rRNA from 1 species
ACGAACGCUGGCGGCGUGCCUAAUACAUGCAAGUAGAACGCUGAAGAGAGGAGCUUGCUCUUCUUGGAUGAGUUGCGAACGGGUGAGUAACGCGUAGGUAACCUGCCUUGUAGCGGGGGAUAACUAUUGGAAACGAUAGCUAAUACCGCAUAACAAUGGAUGACACAUGUCAUUUAUUUGAAAGGGGCAAUUGCUCCACUACAAGAUGGACCUGCGUUGUAUUAGCUAGUAGGUGAGGUAAUGGCUCACCUAGGCGACGAUACAUAGCCGACCUGAGAGGGUGAUCGGCCACACUGGGACUGAGACACGGCCCAGACUCCUACGGGAGGCAGCAGUAGGGAAUCUUCGGCAAUGGGGGCAACCCUGACCGAGCAACGCCGCGUGAGUGAAGAAGAUUUUCGGAUCGUAAAGCUCUGUUGUAAGUCAAGAACGGGUGUGAGAGUGGAAAGUUCACACUGUGACGGUAGCUUACCAGAAAGGGACGGCUAACUACGUG